rnacentral:rRNA from 1 species
UACAGAGGUCCCAAGCGUUGUUCGGAAUCACUGGGCGUAAAGGGCGCGUAGGCGGUCGUGACAAGUCACUUGUGAAAUCUCCGGGCUUAACUCGGAACGGUCAAGUGAUACUGUCGGACUAGAGUACAGAAGGGGCAACUGGAAUUCUCGGUGUAGCGGUGAAAUGCGUAGAUAUCGAGAGGAACACCCGGGGCGAAGGCGGCUCACUGGCCCGAUACUGACGCUGAGGUGCGAAAGCGUGGGGAGCAAACAGG